UGGGGAAUAUUGGACAAUGGGCGCAAGCCUGAUCCAGCCAUGCCGCGUGAGUGAAGAGGGCCCUAGGGUUGUAAAGCUCUUUCACCCGUGAAGAUGAUGACGGUAGCGGGAGAAGAAGCCCCGGCUAACUCCGUGCCAGCAGCCGCGGUAAGACGGAGGGCGCUAGCGUUGUUCGGAAUCACUGGGCGUAAAGGGCGCGCAGGCGGCUGUUUAAGUCGAGGGUGAAAGCCCGGGGCUUAACCCCGGAACGGCCUUCGAGACUGGGCAGCUCGAGACCGGAAGAGGAGGGUGGAAUACCCAGUGUAGAGGUGAAAUUCGUAGAUAUUGGGUGGAACACCAGUGGCGAAAGCGGCUCUCUGGCCCGGAUCUGACGCUGAGGCGCGAAAGCGUGGGGAGCAAACAGGAUUAGAUACCCCCGUAGUCC
rnacentral:rRNA from 1 species